rnacentral:rRNA from 1 species
ACGAACGCUGGCGGCGUGCUUAACACAUGCAAGUCGAACGGAGAUUCAGCAAUGGAUCUUAGUGGCGAACGGGUGAGUAACGCGUAGGCAAUCUGCCUCUAGAUGGGGACAACAUCCCGAAAGGGGUGCUAAUACCGAAUGUUGUAUGAUUUUCGCAUGGAGAUGAUACUAAAGGUGGCCUCUGAAUAUGCUACCGCUAGAAGAUGAGCCUGCGUCUGAUUAGCUAGUUGGAGGGGUAACGGCCCACCAAGGCUUCGAUCAGUAGCCGGUCUGAGAGGAUGAACGGCCACACUGGGACUGAGACACGGCCCAGACUCCUACGGGAGGCAGCAGUGGGGAAUCUUCCGCAAUGGACGAAAGUCUGACGGAGCAACGCCGCGUGAGUGAAAGAAGGUUUUCGGAUCGUAAAGCUCUUUCGUCAGGGACGAACGUAUUUCUUGUAAAUAAUGAGAGAUAGUGACGGUACCUGAAUAAGAAGCCACGGCUAACUACGUGCCAGCAGCAGC